rnacentral:antisense_RNA from 1 species
AUUGGAUGGUGUCAUGGAAAUGUCAAAGAAAAAGUGACACCUGAGAGAAAAUUUGAAAGAUGAAAGUGGAUGCACUAAAGAGGCCAAUCAGUCAUCCAGACAAGAAUUUACCUCAUGAGAGUCAACUGUGCGCAUCUCUUCCCAACAUUGUGGUUGGUUAUGUCAUGUUGAUAGCUUGAAACUGGACAUAGUAUGUACAUUUACACCCCAGAAAUCUCAGGUACUACAAACUAAACCUUCCCCUCUCUCAUUCCCCAGCGCUGUUAAUAUGGAAACUGGUCUAAUAUGGAAAACAGGUGAACAUGGAGCUGCUUUGUUUGUCUCACGGAUGAGAGACACCCAGGUCCUAAUUACUUGUCUUUAACUUUCCUUAGGGAGUACUAAUUUGGGAGUCAUUGUUCUAAACAAUUAAAGUGAAGUAACUGUC